CUACGUGCCAGCAGCCGCGGUAAUACGGAAGGUCCAGGCGUUAUCCGGAUUUAUUGGGUUUAAAGGGUGCGUAGGCCGUUUGAUAAGCGUGCUGUGAAAUAUAGUGGCUCAACCUCUAUCGUGCAGCGCGAACUGUUGAACUUGAGUGCGUAGUAGGUAGGCGGAAUUCGUGGUGUAGCGGUGAAAUGCUUAGAUAUCACGAAGAACUCCGAUUGCGAAGGCAGCUUACCGUAACGUUACUGACGCUUAAGCACGAAGGUGCGGGUAUCGAACAGGAUUAGAUACCCUGGUAGUCCGCACAGUAAACGAUGGAUGCUCGCUGUUGGCCUAUUGUGGUCAGUGGCUUAGCGAAAGCGUUAAGCAUCCCACCUGGGGAGUACGCCGGCAACGGUGAAACUCAAAGGAAUUGACGGGGGCCCGCACAAGCGGAGGAACAUGUGGUUUAAUUCGAUGAUACGCGAGGAACCUUACCCGGGCUUGAA
rnacentral:rRNA from 1 species